rnacentral:rRNA from 1 species
CAGCAGCCACGGGAAUACGGAGGGGGCUAGCGUUGUUCGGAAUUACUGGGCGUAAAGCGCACGUAGGCGGCUUGGUAAGUUAGAGGUGAAAGCCCGGAGCUCAACUCCGGAAUUGCCUUUAAGACUGCCGAGCUAGCAGGUGAGAGAGGUAAGUGGAAUUCCGAGUGUAGAGGUGAAAUUCGUAGAUAUUCGGAAGAACACCAGUGGCGAAGGCGGCUUACUGGCUCAUACUGGACGCUGAGGUGCGAAAGCGUGGGGAGCAAACAGGAUUAGAUACCCCUGUAGUCCCUGUCUCUUAUAC